GACGGAGGAUGCAAGCGUUAUCCGGAAUUACUGGGCGUAAAGCGUCCGCAGGUGGCGAAUUAAGUCUGAUGUCAAAGACCACAGCUUAACUGUGGACAGGCAGUGGAAACUGGAUUGCUAGAGUGCGGCAGGGGUAGACGGAAUUCCCAGUGUAGCGGUGAAAUGCGUAGAUAUUGGGAAGAGCACCAGUGGCGAAGGCGGUCUACUGGGCCGCAACUGACACUCAUGGACGAAAGCUAGGGGAGCGAAUGGG
rnacentral:rRNA from 1 species